CCUACGGGUGGCAGAAGUGAGGAAUAUUGGUCAAUGGGCGAGAGCCUGAACCAGCCAAGUCGCGUGAAGGAUGACGGCCCUACGGGUUGUAAACUUCUUUUGUCAGGGAGCAAUCUAGUCCACGCGUGUUCUUAUCGAGAGUACCUGAAGAAAAAGCAUCGGCUAACUCCGUGCAAGCAGCCGCGGUAAUCCGGAGGAUGCGGGGGUUAUCCGGUUUUAUUGGGUUUAAGGGGUGCGUAGGCGGACUAUCAAGUCGGCGGUAAAAAUUCGGGGUUCAACCCGGUCGUGCCGUUGAAACUGAUGGGCUUGAGAGGGGGAGAAGUAGGCGGAAUGCGUGGUGUAGCGGUGAAAUGCAUAGAGAUCACGCAGAACUCCGAUUGCGAAGGCAGCAUACCGGGGCACAACUGACGCUGAAGCACGAAAGCGUGGGUAUCGAACAGGAUUAGAUACCCCAGUAGUC
rnacentral:rRNA from 1 species